AUCUGUUGGCCAGAAGGACCUUCGCCCGCAAGGGAAAGGCUGGACGCUCCCCCCGCAUGGAUGCUUAAUACCAGAACAAUCCUGUACUACCCCUCAGCACAGAUACCCCUGCUCCGACCACUGGACUGUGCUCUCCCCGAGCUGGAACAGAACCCAGGAGUCCUGAUUCCUUCAGCCCUGCACUAACCAUUAGACAACACACCUCCCAGAGCCAGGGACAGAGCGCAGGAGCCCUGCCUCCCAGCCUCUCACCACUACGACCAAUACAGGAGCAGCAAGACAAUUCACAGGUGCACGGAGUUUAAGGCCAGAAGGGAUCGCUGGUCAUCAUCAUCAUUCUAGACUGACCUCCUGCAGAACCCAGGCCAGGGCGCUCUACUCAGUCACACCCGCAUCCAGCCCAACAAAUGGUAGUGGAAUAAGAGCAGAUCUUUUAGAAAGAAACAUCUAGCCUGGAUUUAAAGACUCCAAGCGAUGGAGGAUUCACUGCAUCCCUUGGUGGCCAGAGAGGAUGGACAAGCUCUCCCACAAGUCACUGGGAAAAUCCAACUAGCGGCUCAGUUUACUGCAGCUCUAAGAGCCACGGGAGGUGCUCCCAGGAGGCCUAGCGACGCACACGAGCGGGGACGCAGAAGCUCGCGUGUUCGUCUGCAGCGGGGCCCCUCGCACUCGAGCUCGGCCAAAUGAAUGCUGUCACAGAGACACCCCUCGACGGGUCUGAGCCAGAGCACCCUCCCCAUCCCACCAGCACACAGCCGAGCAGCGAGCCCAGCGGGUUUUCCAUUACAUACCGACGCUCCAUCGAGAGCUGCGGACGGUCCCCAUUUAACCCCAGAACGGGGACAAUGCAGGCAGCGCAGACCUCCCCACACCCCAGCAUCUUCCAACAUACCUCAAACCCUGCCAAGGAUUGCAGACCAGCGCCCCUCGAGGGCCCCAAGGCCUCCCCAUGUGUGCCCAGAACACACUUCACUAGGAAAGAAGCUUCCCUCACACCCCCUUCUCAAUCCUUAACAAAAGGCUCAGAUGAUCCUAGAAAUUAGAGUAACUUAGUGCCAGAU